rnacentral:misc_RNA from 1 species
AAAAUAUUCAACUAACCAACUUAGUGAGCUAUUGACUAUGCUUUCAGGAGCUCAGCUCAAAAUAUUCAUUCUUCUGGUAAUCAACCCCAACUCCAACAAUCCAAACACUAAGACAAAAUGCCCUCAAAAGAGUAAAACCAAGACUAAUGCAGAAAUGUUUUACAGGGUGAUGGAUUUCUCAGGAUUCGACAUAUCACCAGUAGUUAGAUCAACAGGGCAUG